GAUGAACGCUGGCGGCGUGCCUAAUACAUGCAAGUCGAGCGAACAGACGAGGAGCUUGCUCCUUUGACGUUAGCGGCGGACGGGUGAGUAACACGUGGAUAACCUACCUAUAAGACUGGGAUAACUUCGGGAAACCGGAGCUAAUACCGGAUAACAUGUUGAACCGCAUGGUUCAACAGUGAAAGACGGUCUUGCUGUCACUUAUAGAUGGAUCCGCGCCGCAUUAGCUAGUUGGUAAGGUAACGGCUUACCAAGGCAACGAUGCGUAGCCGACCUGAGAGGGUGAUCGGCCACCCUGGAACUGAGACACGGUCCAGACUCCUAAGGGAGGCAGCAGUAGGGAAUCUUCCGCAAUGGGCGAAAGCCUGACGGAGCAACGCCGCGUGAGUGAAGAAGGUCUUCGGAUCGUAAAACUCUGUUAUUAGGGAAGAACAAAUGUGUAAGUAACUAUGCACGUCUUGACGGUACCUAAUCAGAAAGCCACGGCUAACUACGUG
rnacentral:rRNA from 1 species